UUGGAACCGGCGCGGGCGGACGCCUCGCCAACCUGGUCAGGGCCGGAAGGCAGCAGCCACAACGAGUUUCGCUCCGGGUCGCGUCGGUUCCACCUU
rnacentral:SRP_RNA from 1 species